rnacentral:rRNA from 1 species
CCUACGGGAGGCAGCAGUGAGGAAUAUUGGUCAAUGGGCGCGAGCCUGAACCAGCCAAGCAGCGUGAAGGAUGACUGUCCUACGGGUUGUAAACCUCUUUUAUAAAGGAAUAAAGUGAGGCACGUGUGCCUGGUUGUGUGUACUUGAUGAAUAAGGAUCGGCUAACUCCGUGCCAGCAGCCGCGGUAAUACGGAGGAUCCGAGCGUUAUCCGGAUUUAUUGGGUUUAAAGGGAGCGUAGAUGGGUUGUUAAGUCAGUUGUGAAAGUUCGCGGCUCAACCGUAAAAUUGCAAUUGAUACUGGCAGCCUUGAGUACAGUUGAGGUAGGCGGAAUUCGUGGUGUAGCGGUGAAAUGCUUAGAUAUCACGAAGAACUCCGAUUGCGAAGGCAGCUUACUAAACUGCCACUGACAUUGAUGCUCGAAAGUGUGGGUAUCGAACAGGAUUAGAUACCCCUGUAGUC